rnacentral:rRNA from 1 species
UUAUUGCCCGAUGGAUGGGCCCGCGUUGGAUUAGCUUGUUGGUGGGGUAAUGGCCUACCAAGGCGACGAUCCAUAGCUGGUCUGAGAGGACGAUCAGCCACACUGGGACUGAGACACGGCCCAGACUCCUACGGGAGGCAGCAGUGGGGAAUCUUGCACAAUGGGCGAAAGCCUGAUGCAGCCAUGCCGCGUGAGUGAAGAAGGCCCUAGGGUUGUAAAGCACUUUCAAUCGUGAAGAAAAGCUUACGGUUAAUACCCGUAAGUAUUGACGUUAACGAUACAAGAAGCACCGGCUAACUCCGUG